AAUACAUGCAAGUCGAACGCUUCUUUUCCACCGGAGCUUGCUCCACCGGAAAAAGAAGAGUGGCGAACGGGUGAGUAACACGUGGGUAACCUGCCCAUCAGAAGGGGAUAACACUUGGAAACAGGUGCUAAUACCGUAUAACAAUCAAAACCGCAUGGUUUUGAUUUGAAAGGCGCUUUCGGGUGUCGCUGAUGGAUGGACCCGCGGUGCAUUAGCUAGUUGGUGAGGUAACGGCUCACCAAGGCCACGAUGCAUAGCCGACCUGAGAGGGUGAUCGGCCACAUUGGGACUGAGACACGGCCCAAACUCCUACGGGAGGCAGCAGUAGGGAAUCUUCGGCAAUGGACGAAAGUCUGACCGAGCAACGCCGCGUGAGUGAAGAAGGUUUUCGGAUCGUAAAACUCUGUUGUUAGAGAAGAACAAGGAUGAGAGUAACUGUUCAUCCCUUGACGGUAUCUAACCAGAAAGCCACGGCUAACUACGUGCCAGCAGCCGCGGUAAUACGUAGGUGGCAAGCGUUGUCCGGAUUUAUUGGGCGUAAAGCGAGCGCAGGCGGUUUCUUAAGUCUGAUGUGAAAGCCCCCGGCUCAACCGGGGAGGGUCAUUGGAAACUGGGAGACUUGAGUGCAGAAGAGGAGAGUG
rnacentral:rRNA from 1 species